rnacentral:rRNA from 1 species
AUUGAACGCUGGCGGCAGGCUUAACACAUGCAAGUUGAGCGGGGGAAGGUAGCUUGCUACCGGACCUAGCGGCGGACGGGUGAGUAAUGCUUAGGAAUCUGCCUAUUAGUGGGGGACGACAUCUCGAAAGGGAUGCUAAUACCGCAUACGUCCUACGGGAGAAAGCAGGGGAUCUUCGGACCUUGCGCGAAUAGAUGAGCCUAAGUCGGAUUAGCUAGUUGGUGGGGUAAAGGCCUACCAAGGCGACGAUCUGUAGCGGGUCUGAGAGGAUGAUCCGCCACACUGGGACUGAGACACGGCCCAGACUCCUACGGGAGGCAGCAGUGGGGAAUAUUGGACAAUGGGGGGAACCCUGAUCCAGCCAUGCCGCGUGUGUGAAGAAGGCCUUAUGGUUGUAAAGCACUUUAAGCGAGGAGGAGGCUACUUUAGUUAAUACCUAGAGAUAGUGGACGUUACUCGCAGAAUAAGCACCGGCUAACUCUGUGCCAGCAGCCGCCGCAG